rnacentral:rRNA from 1 species
UUUGGUGCCAGCAGCCGCGGUAAUUCCAGCUCCAAUAGCGUAUAUUAAAGUUGUUGCAGUUUAAAAAGCUUCGUAGUUGAAUUUCGGGGUUCAUCCGUUGGUCGGGCUUUUGGGUCUGUACGGGCGUGAUGGAUUCCUACCUUCUGA